UCUUACGGAUGAGCAAAGAAAGUAGUUUCUUGGGAUGCAAUCUACUCCUGGUAAAGAUGCUGUGAA
rnacentral:pre_miRNA from 1 species